AAGAGAGACUGAUCGAUCAUCCAUGAUGGCCGCUUCGAUCGGAUCGUUCCUGCGGCGAUCAUCGUCAGGGAUGCGUUCCAAUCUUUCCCGGCGUUUGGAGGUGUUCUCUUUGGCCUUCUUUGUGUGGGUUUCGUCCUAAAGUUUCCUUUUCGAGUGUUCUUGCGCCUCUUGUGGCGCCUUAUUUGAAGAUUCUCGCUGUUGAGUGUGUUAUAGGGGGAAGGAGCAUCAAACCUAAACUUCAUUGAGACUUUGGUUUACUUUUCCAAGAACUUCAUAAUAGAGCAACUUCUCUCAUACCAUCUGGUGGUUGAAAGCAAUAACUGACCCUUAAGAAUCUGGUCUCCAAUGUUGGUUGAUGUGAACACCUUGCUUGAACAAGAUGAAUAUAAAGAAAGUUAUCCUCCAAUGAGAGAAGUGGUCUGUUGCAAGUCAUAUCAUCCAAAAUGUCACUGAAGAGUUUAUGAUUUGCUUGGGGUUUAGGAAGAACGGAAAGAAAGGAUCACAGACAUGAAAGAUCUGACAAAGGUAUGAGCAGGAAGUGACAAGUUCAAAGCCACCAACAAUGGUGGAGAUGCAAUUCCGAGCUAGCCGGUAUAGUGCAUUCCAACAUGGAGGUCUGAAGUCUCAGGGCAGGCAAGUGGAGAAGACAUAAUUCAACUCAAGGAAUUGAAAUGGAGGCACCGACGGUUCUUGUUUGAUGGUAAUGCUCGCUUGCUUCAGCUUCCAGCUCAUAACACCUUCAAAAGGAGAGUGAAGAUAUAUCAAGCUCUCACACUUGGAUGUAGACAGAAUUGUCUUUGGAGUUCUCUUUCCCUGUAGGAUAUGCAUUCACAGGAGAUAGAUUGUUGUUGAUAUAUUGACCAUAAUGUAGUAUUCUAGACAUUGGCCAAGCCACAAAAACCUGACAUAUUUAAUAAGUUGUUGCAGAUUAUGUUUAUGGUAGACAUGAUCUGAACAGUACAUGCAAUAUGAACUGGACAUUUUGAAUC